AGAGCGAACGCUGGCGGCAGGCCUAACACAUGCAAGUCGAGCGCCCGUAGCAAUACGGGAGCGGCAGACGGGAGAGUAACACGUGGGAACGCGCCCUUCGGUUCGGAAUAACUCAGGGAAACUUGAGCUAAUACCGGAUACGCCCUUACGGGGAAAGAUUUAUUGCCGAAGGAACGGCCCGCGUCCGAUUAGCUAGUUGGUGAGGUAAUGGCUCACCAAGGCGACGAUCGGUAGCUGGUCUGAGAGGAUGACCAGCCUCGCUGGGACUGAGACACGGCCCAGACUCCUACGGGAGGCAGCAGUGGGGAAUAUUGGACAAUGGGCGCAAGCCUGAUCCAGCCAUGCCGCGUGAGUGAUGAAGGCCUUAGGGUUGUAAAGCUCUUUUAGCAGGGAAGAUAAUGACGGUACCUGCAGAAAAAGCCCCGGCUAACUUCGUGCCAGCAGCCGC
rnacentral:rRNA from 1 species